CGGGCGCGGUGGCUCAAGCCUGUAAUCCCAGCACUUUGGGAGGCCGAGGCGGGUGGAUCACGAAGUCAAGAGAUUGAGACCAUCCUGGUCAACAUGGUGAAACCCCGUCUCUACUAGAGAUACAAAAAAUUAGCUGGGCAUGGUGGCGCAUGCCUGUAAUCCCAGCUACUCGGGAGGCUGAGGCAGGAGAAUUGCCUGAACCCAGGAGGCGGAGGUUGCGGUGAGCCGAGAUGCGCCAUUGCACUCCAGCCUGGGUAAUGAGCGAAACUCUGUCUCAAAAAAAAAAAAAAAAAUUAAUAAAUAAAAAUUAAAAAAAGAAAGCCCUCAGAUUAUAGAAACAUUCUCAUUCUUCUUAUGCCUCAGCUAUAUUCUUGAAUUCUUCAAUUCUGAGCUGCAGUUAGCAUUGAUGGUAAGCAAACCACCAUCUUUCUUACCAAGAAGUAGGACGAGAAAAAGAAAGCCCAGCUAUCAUCCAAUGUUCAUUUUCCCUUUGAAGAAUGCCUGUCUUUAUUCAGCUAGGAAAGAAUCCCAAUGGCCAGUAUUACUUCCCCUUUUAGGUACUGGAAGCUGCAGAACUUUCCUUGGCAGAGGACAACAAUUUGCAGUUGCUCACUAUUUUAGAAGUCACCUCUAAGAACUCGGGGACUGCCAACAAGUACCUACUGUUCCUUAGCAGGCUGAAAGUCGACUUUCACUUUGUGGCUGCCAUUGGGUGGGGCAGACAAAAAGACAGACAGGAGGAGGGACAGAGAAAGAAAGCAUGCUUUCUCCCCACCAGAUGAAGCUUUUCUUUCCGGUUUGGCAAGGAACUGGGCGUAAAGUGGCUGAAGCUAUGAUGACGGAGAUAACCCUGGAUACCUAUUUGUCAUCGAUUUCAUUCACUUGUAACUUUGGAAUCAGUCCAACCACUUACUCCAGAAAGUUGGCUGGAAAGUUUCCACUACAGAUUUUUCUUGUUUUGAGAUGGAAUUUUGUUCUGUCACCCAGGCUGGAGUACAGUGGCGUGAUCUCAGCUCACUGCAACCUCUGCCUCCUGGGUUCAAGUGAUUCUUUUGCCUCGCCUCCCGAGUAGCUGGGAUUACAGGUGCUCAUCACCAUGCCCCACUGUACACUACAGAUUUAAUCAGGAGAUUCUGUUUUUCUCAUGGCCAGUCUGAUGAGGACCCAAAUGCCUGACAUGGAUCCCCAGUUGCCCUAAUAAAACCAAUUCACUUUCCAGGAGACAUGAUGCUUUGCAAGACAUGGUGGUUUCUCCACAGGAAAUGACAAACUGAACUCCAAAUCCUGGUGGCUCUUGUUCCAGUAAUAUACAUCUAGUUCCUCCAGAGGAUCACUCAAAGUAUGUCAGGCUGAUUGUAUAAGGAAGCGUAAAACUUCAGAGCCAGGGGAAUGUUAAUCUUGUCCCUUUGCUUUAUAAAAAGAGGAGACAGAGUAUGUGAAAGGCUAAAUGCCUUGGCUAACACCACACUGUUUUUUUUUUGUUGUUGUUGUUUGUUUUAGAUGGAGUCUCACUCUGUCUCCCAGGCUAGAGUGCAAUGGUGCACUCUCGGCUCACAGAAACCUCUGCCUCCCGGGUUCAAGUGAUUCUCCUACCUCAGCCUCCCAAGUAGCUGGGAUUACAGGCGCGCAACACCACACCUGGAUAAUUUUUGUAUUUUUAGUAGAGACGGGGUUUCACCAUGUCGGUCAAGCUGGUGUCUAACUCCUGACCUUGUGAUCCGCCCACCUCGGCCUCCCAAUGUGUUGGGAUUAUGGGUGUGAGCCACCGUACCCAGUCAAUACCACACUGUUUGGUGGUGACAUUUAUAGCACUCUACAGUUUAACUUUUACCAUCGACAGAAGAUCUCACUGUCCAAGGUGAGAAUGUGUGGUUAACUUUAGAAAUAAAGGGAGAAAGUACUCAAAAAUGAUAGCUCUUUUUUUUUUCUUUUUUUGUGAGACAGGGUCUCACUCUGUCGCCCAGGCUGGACUGCCGCUUCACAGUCUCGGCUUACUGCAACCUCCACCACCCAAGAUCAAGUGAUCCUCUUGCCUCAGUCUCCCACGUAGUUGAGACUACAGGCCUGUGCCACCGUACCUGGCUAAUAUUUGCAUUUUUUGUAGAGACUGGUUUUCAUCAUGUUACUCAGACUGGUCUCAAACUCCUGGACUCAAGUGAUCCUCCUGCCUUGGCCUCUCAAAGUGCUGGGACUAAAAGCAUGAGCCACUGUGCCUGGCCAAAAAUGACAGUUUUUAAAUUAUUCUAAAUAAGCAAAACAUAGGGCCUAGAAUGAUCUCACAUUUUAAUAACAUGUAGUUUUUUCUUAUAAAAAUACGUUUCCGUUGUUAGAGAUUUUGGAAAUACAGAAAAAUGUAACGAAGAAAUUAAGUGUCCCGUGGAAUUUUAGCAAUGAGAUACAAACACUGCUAAUGCCUUAAUGUGUUUCCUUCCGGGCCCAAUCGCUAACAUUUUUUAAGGGGAAAUAUCAUGUCACGGAAGAGCUGAUGAGCCCUACAAGGCUGAGGAUACAAAGAGAGUCAAUUGUGAGAUGGAGGCCGCGCCUGGUGGCUCAGGUUUAUAAUCCCGGCGUUUUGGAAGCCCGAUGCAGGGGGAUCACCUGAGGGUAAGGCGUCUGAGACCAGGUGGCCAACAUGGUGAAACCCUGUCUCUGCCAAAAAUACAAAACUUAGCUGGGCGUCGUGGGGUGCACCUGUAAUCUCUUGGGAGGCUGAGGCAGGAGAAUUGCUUGAACAUGGGAGGCAGAGGUUGCAGCGAGCCAAGAUCACGCCACUGCACUCCAGCCUGGGCAACCGAGUGAGACUCCCUCUCAAGAAAAAAAAAAAAAUUGUGAGAAUGAGAUGGUUACUGGUGGUGAAUCUAUAGGGGUCUGCAGUCACCUCAUUUGUUGCCUCCAAGGAAGAAAGAAUUUGACCGAGGAGGCAGAAGGCAGAAGGAGACACCAAAGCAAGUCGUAGAACGGGAGUGAGAGUUUAUUAAAAAGCUAUAAAGCAGGAAGGAAAGGAAGGCAAAUAGUACACUUGGAAGAGGGCCAGGUGGACAGCUUCAAAGGUCAACUGCCCUGUUUGACCUUUGACUUAGGGUUUUAUGCAUUGGCACACUGCCAGAGUCUUGGCCCUCCUCCCCUGGGGUGGGCUGUGCGCAUGCGGCGUGGCCUGUUAGCGAAUGGGAGUGAGCAUGCGCAGUGUGUUGACGGGAGUUGUACGCAUGCUCACUGGAGGCGUUCUGCCCUUUUUGCUCGAAGGUUCCUAGGCGGUCGUAAACCAGACCCUGAGUCCUGGGGGCACUGGGCAGGCACCCGAGGACCUGAGUAAACAAGAAGGCCGGAUGCACAUUUUCUCCUGGACACUGUGGCCAGGAGUACAAUGGUGUGAUCUCGGUUUACUGCAGUCUCUACCUCCUGGGUUCAAACGAUUCUCCUGCCUCAGCGUCCGGAGUACUGGGAUUACAGGCAAG